rnacentral:tRNA from 1 species
GGGGAUGCAGCUCAGUGGUAGAGCACUUUCCCUAGCAUGCAUGAUGACCUGGGUUCAAUGCCAAGCACCCCCC